rnacentral:hammerhead_ribozyme from 1 species
AUGCGAAACCGGCCCUGCGGGGCCGGUCGGUCGGGCGUGGUGGCCCGGUCCUGAUGAUGCGGCCAAAG